GACGGAGGAUGCAAGUGUUAUCCGGAAUCACUGGGCGUAAAGCGUCUGUAGGUGGUUUAAUAAGUCAACUGUUAAAUCUUGAGGCUCAACCUCAAAAUCGCAGUCGAAACUAUUAGGCUAGAGUAUAGUAGGGGUAAAGGGAAUUUCCAGUGGAGCGGUGAAAUGCGUAGAGAUUGGAAAGAACACCGAUGGCGAAGGCACUUUACUGGGCUAUUACUAACACUCA
rnacentral:rRNA from 1 species